rnacentral:tRNA from 1 species
GGAGUUGUGGCUUAAUGGGUAAAGCUGCUGCCUGCAAUGCUGGCAUCCCUUUUGGGUGCCAGUUUGAGUCCCAGCUGCUCCA